rnacentral:rRNA from 1 species
AUUGAACGCUGGCGGCAUGCCUUACACAUGCAAGUCGAACGGCAGCAUGAUCUAGCUUGCUAGAUUGAUGGCGAGUGGCGAACGGGUGAGUAAUACAUCGGAACGUGCCCUGUAGUGGGGGAUAACUAGUCGAAAGAUUAGCUAAUACCGCAUACGACCUGAGGGUGAAAGUGGGGGACCGCAAGGCCUCAUGCUAUAGGAGCGGCCGAUGUCUGAUUAGCUAGUUGGUGAGGUAAAGGCUCACCAAGGCGACGAUCAGUAGCUGGUUUGAGAGGACGAUCAGCCACACUGGGACUGAGACACGGCCCAGACUGCUACGGGAGGCAGCAGUGGGGAAUUUUGGACAAUGGGGGCAACCCUGAUCCAGCAAUGCCGCGUGUGUGAAGAAGGCCUUCGGGUUGUAAAGCACUUUUGUCCGGAAAGAAAUCGCACUUACUAAUAUUAGGUGUGGAUGACGGUACCGGAAGAAUAAGGACCGGCUAACUACGUGCCAGCAGCCGCCGCAGUAA